UAAUACGUAGGGGGCGAGCGUUGUCCGGAAUCACUGGGCGUAAAGCGCACGUAGGUGGCACGCUAAGAUGGGCGUGAAAUCCCCGGGCUUACCUCGGGGGGGUCGUCCGUGACUGGCGAGCUAGGGUCUGGCAGAGGUGAGUGGAAUUCCCGGUGGAGCGGUGAAAUGCGUAGAUAUCGGGAGGAACACCAGUGGCGAAGGCGACUCACUGGGCCAGUACCGACGCUGAGGUGCGAAAGCGUGGGGAGCGAACCGG
rnacentral:rRNA from 1 species